UACGUAGGGUCCGAGCGUUUAAUCGGAAUUACUGGGCGUAAAGCGUGCGCAGGCGGUUUUGUAAGCCAGAUGUGAAAGCCCCGGGCUCAACCUGGGAACUGCAUUUGGGACUGCAAGGCUGGAGUACGGCAGAGGGAGGUGGAAUUCCACGUGUAGCAGUGAAAUGCGUAGAGAUGUGGAGGAACACCGAUGGCGAAGGCAGCCUCCUGGGCUAGUACUGACGCUCAUGCACGAAAGCGUGGGGAGCAAACAGG
rnacentral:rRNA from 1 species